rnacentral:rRNA from 1 species
AGCAGCCGCGGUAAUUCCAGCUCCAAUAGCGUAUAUUAAAGUUGUUGCAGUUAAAAAGCUCGUAGUUGAAUUUCGGGAUCAGUGGGUCGGUCGUGCCACUGGUAUGUACUGGCCCUACUGGUUCCUCCUUCUUGAAGAACUGUAAUGCCAUUAAUUUGGUGUUGCAGGGAAACAGGACUGUUACUUUGAAAAAAUUAGAGUGUUUAAAGCAGGCAAUCGCUUGAAUACAUUAGCAUGGAAUAAUGAAAUAGGACGUUCGAUCCUAUUUUGUUGGUUUCUAGGAUUGACGUAAUGAUUAAUAGGGAUAGUUGGGGGCAUUAGUAUUCAAUUGUCAGAGGUGAAAUUCUUGGAUUUAUUGAAGACUAACUACUGCGAAAGCAUUUGCCAAGGAUGUUUUCAUUAAUCAAGAACGAAAGUUAGGGGAUCGAAGACGAUCAGAUACCGUCGUAGUCUUAACCAUAAACUAUGCCGACUAGGGAUCUGAUGAUGUUAAUUUUUUAAUGACUCAUUCGGCG